rnacentral:lncRNA from 1 species
ACUCAUCACUUGAAUAUCCAGGAACGUUCAACUGCCAAUUCUUCUCUGCACAUUAUCCACAAUUUAUGAUUGGUAAAGCUUUGUCCAAUAGUAUAAGAUACAAUACCUACCAUAACUACCAAACACGAUGAAUAAAGAAACUGGUAACCAGUGCUUUUAGUUUGAAUCAUCACUAAUAUGUUAUGCUAGUGGAUAUUUAUUCAGAAACAAAAUAUUUUCAUUCUUCAUUUUAUUGUCAAUAAUUAAGGUGGCAUUGUUCCCACUUCCCUCCCUGUAUCUAGAACAGAAUAGCUGAACAUUUUUUCACUUUACCAAUUAUCAUGCUCGCACUCGGACAUUUUUUUUAUUACCUCAUAACUAUCACAAAUGAAUUAAAAAACUUGCUAAGAUCUAAGUUUGAAAUCAGAAAAGGGAGUCAUAUGCUCCUGGUGCAUGGCAUUUAAGAAAUCAAGUAAAAAAACAAAAGACCAAGGAAAGUAGUACGCACCUAAGUGUAGCAAUAAAUCUUUGGAUUCUAAAGUUGAGGAUUUUCGAUGUUUUGCCAAAUUGCAUGAAAAGGUAGUAACCUGUAUGGCAUCAAAGAAAGAAAAAACUUAGUAAAUGAUGAAUGAGUCAUGAUAUUAACAUGAAUUAUCAGGCAAUUCUAUAAACUUAAUAUUGCAAUAGAAGAAACAUAAUAAUCAAGACACACAGCUACGAAAAUUGUCCACCAAAAGGACCCUAAAGCCAGUCCACUUGAUUUGUUUGUAACAUCAAAAUGGUAAGAGGGGGCAAUGAUGAGAAAAUAGCUUUUAAUAAGAACACGUAGAUUUUAGAAGGAAUUAAAGGUGUCCACACCAGCGUCUUAGUGAGAAAGAAGGGAGAAUAAUGAGCACAAGGGAGUAUUGACAUAUUUCUCUUAAACAGAUAAAUGACAGAGGAAUAUACUGAUCAGUCCAAAAGAAGACAUAUACCACUCCGUUCACUCAUGGGCUGACCAACUUAUUAAAUGGGGUAAAAAACCAAAAAACAGGGCCCUAAAAUGUUAAUGACUAAUGAGGCACAGCAAUUUAUCGUUAAUGGAAAAUAUAAAAAGCCACUGCCUAAAAUGUUAAUCAUGAGCAAGGAGGAGCUCUUAUUCUGGACAUGUAGGGCUGUACUAGCUCACAACAGAGAGUGUUGCUCCAUGAUUCAAGAGGUUUUCUUGAACCCUCCUUUUUAGGACAAGGGAAGAGUUCCUUGCACGCCUUUGUUUACCAUAAUGUGCAGCAUUGACUCAAGAGGAACCUUAGACGGCCUGAGAGGUCUGUUAAUCUGACUUUUUGUAUUUACCAACUUGACCUCAUUUUCUUGGACUGGGAUUCAUUCUUGUAAUUAGUUUGGGAUUUUUAGUGGUGAGCUAGUUUUUUGUCUGCUCUUGUACAUUCUUUUAUUUCUCGCUAUAAAUUAUAUGCUGAUACAAAUAAUGAUGUUGUGUAAUAAUGAGCAGUAGUCAAGGGUAAUAAAGCUAAAGGCAGGGCAUAUCAAACUAGUGGCCACUGACCAGACCCCUCCAACUACUACCUUCAUACAACUUGAGUUUUUUUUUUUAAAUUCAAGUUUAAAUUAUAACCUUCGUUUUAACAACAAUGAUCAGAGAAAUAGUUGAAUAGUUUCAGAUAUAAGGAGUAUGAUAAAAUUGUGGUGCACCAGAAUCGCCAAGUCAACAGAAUGAAUAAAUACAUCAGUCUAGAAUGAAAUAAGAUGAACAAAUAUUUGGACUUCGACAGAUUAAAAGAGAAUAAUACCAAAAUGAGGAUCAAUACUCCAAAAACAUAGUUUCCUGGUGAUUAAUGUGUCAUAGAAUAGCAUACUAUUUUUUGGGAAAUACUUCAACGUGAUCCUCUAUGACAUGAUGCGGAUUUGUUUUAACUGACCUUCUAUUAUAUAUGUUUUGAUAUAAUAGAACAUAGUGCUUCAAUAGUGAAAGACUAACUCUUGAUGCGUACUGAUAUUGACCAUUGAUUACAGCACAUAUGCAGUUACUUUAGUGUGUGUAAGAUAUUGGGUGGAAAUGAACAAUCAAGUAUAGGGAAAUAGUAGUAGUACUAGGAAGUCUCACCGAAUCGAUAAAAUCAUCGGCAAUCUCCAAGAGAAGGUCUUCAACUUCAGGUUCCAGCUUUCCAUGUGGAUCUACCUGCAGAUAUUCGAAUUUCAACUAAAGUGAGAACAAAAUUAAAAAAACAAAAAAGCACAUUAGAGACAUUGAGUAAACAAGAGAUGUGAUAAGUCAAGGCAGAACCUGUGAAACCAGAUCUUGUAUCUUUCUCUUCCCAAGGACUUGAGUUGCAGCCUCUGUCCCUUGGCUUGAACUUCCCCCCGGUGUACUAGCGCCAGAUGCUGUGGCAUCUGGAUGUGAUCCAGUCAAACUGAGAGAUUUC